AGCAAAUAGAUACCCCGGGUAGUCCACGCCCUAAACGAUGGAUACUAAGUAGGGGACCCUGCAAGGGGUUCCUUGCCGGAGCGAAAAAGCGUUAAAGUAUCCCGCCUGGGGAGUAUGGUCGCAAGGCUGAAACCUCAAAGGAAUUGACGGGGGCUCACACAAGCGGUGGAGCAUGUUGCUUAAAUUCGAUGCAACGCGAAGAACCUUACCCGGGCUCGAAGUGUACGGAUUAGUUCUAUGAAAGUAGAAUGACACCUUAACCGGUGGAACGUACAAAGGUGUUGCAUGGCUGUCGUCAGCUCGUGUCGUGAGAUGUCGGGUU
rnacentral:rRNA from 1 species